AUUGAACGCUGGCGGCAGGCCUAACACAUGCAAGUCGAACGAGUGGCGGACGGGUGAGUAAUGUAUGGGAAACUGCCUGAUGGAGGGGGAUAACUCCUGGAAACGGUGGCUAAUACCGCAUACCCUCGGAUGUACCCAUAUGGGAUUAGCUAGUAGGUGGGGUAAAGGCUCACCUAGGCGACGAUCCCUAGCUGGUCUGAGAGGAUGACCAGCCACACUGGAACUGAGACACGGUCCAGACUCCUACGGGAGGCAGCAGUGGGGAAUAUUGCACAAGGGGCGCAAGCCUGAUACAGCCAUGCCGCGUGUAUGAAGAAGGCCUUCGGGUUGUAAAGUACUUUCAGCGGGGAGGCGUUACCCGCAGAAGAAGCACCGGCUAACUCCGUGCCAGCAGCCGCGGUAAUAC
rnacentral:rRNA from 1 species